UACGGAGGGUGCGAGCGUUGUCCGGAAUCACUGGGCGUAAAGGGCGCGUAGGCGGCAUGCCAAGCGUGUGGUGAAAGCCCGGGGCUCAACCCCGGGUCGGCCGUGCGGACUGGCGUGCUCGAGCACUGUAGGGGCGGGUGGAAUUCCGGGUGUAGCGGUGGAAUGCGUAGAGAUCCGGAGGAACACCAGUGGCGAAAGCGGCCACCUGGACUGUACCUGACGCUCAAACACGAAAGCUAGGGGAGCGAACGGG
rnacentral:rRNA from 1 species